rnacentral:rRNA from 1 species
GCAGUAGCCGCGGGAAUACGAAGGGGGCUAGCGUUGCUCGGAAUGACUGGGCGUAAAGGGCGCGUAGGCGGCGGCCAAAGUCAGGCGUGAAAUUCCCGGGCUCAACCUGGGGGCUGCGUUUGAUACUUGGUUGCUUGAGUGGGGAAGAGGGUCGUGGAAUUCCCAGUGUAGAGGUGAAAUUCGUAGAUAUUGGGAAGAACACCGGUGGCGAAGGCGGCGACCUGGUCCUUGACUGACGCUGAGGCGCGAAAGCGUGGGGAGCAAACAGGAUUAGAGACCCCUGUAGUCCCUGUCUCUUAUAC